UCCAAUGUGGUGUAGUGGCUAACAUUGCUGUCUUUCAGUCUUUCACCUGCGAGGUACACAGCAGCCCGGGGUUCGAUUCCCCGCAUUGGAA